UUUUUUUAUAAAAUAAUUUUUAUAGAGUUAUCUGUAAGGAAUUUUUGUAGUGUAAAAGUGAAAUAAAUUCAUACAUACUGUAAUACAGAUAGUCAAGGUAUGCAAUUAAAUUUACAAUGACACGUGGGUCCCAAAAUGACAAAAGUGAACGAAGGAUGUGAACCUACGAUUUUUGAGGAAGUAAAGCCAACUGUAGCCUUCGACGAUAUCAGCUAUCUACAAACUAUCCUGAGCCUGAAAUGGGUGGAAAGGAGGGUGAUGAGAUUAUAUAAUCCCAGUGAGUAAACAAAUAUCAUCUAAAAUAUCUAAAGUCGAGUAAAUGGAGACGAUUAAAAUAGAUCAUCAUAAGAUGGUUCAUAACAUCAAAACACAUUUCAAAUCAUCUAAACCAGUUACGUUUCAUCCAAAAUAUACAAUGAGGCUUAUGAAUCUCUUAAAAACUUGGCUCAUGCCAAAACUCAUUCUCGGGGAUACCUUGGUCGAGGCAUCUAACCGAGUCCACCAAGGUUGUUAAAAAGUCAUAUAUGCACAAAACACAUUUUUACAUUUAAAAGCACGGUUGUUCCUUGGCAUUGGCUGAAUUCACUUUCAUGUGGUGGUUCGGCGUGAAGUAAACUCUAAACUUUACCCCAGGAGAUACCCUAUGCGCCUCUCCGACUGAGGUAAGAAUAUAACCGGAUUUUGUGCCCCUCUAAUAGGCUGGCCCACAAAACCUGCCACUGUAAUGACCAAUCUAUAACCACAAAUUCAAUAAAAAUUCAACAGCAUGACAUGGCAAUUUUAGCAUUAUCUAGCCUAUCAAGGCAAACAACAGUUUAUACAUUUUCAACACAAUACCCAUCCAGCCAUUCAUGCCCACAUUAUCAUAAGCCAUUCAAUUCAAAACAUAAUUUACAAUACAGCAAGUAGUCUCCAAUUACUCCAUUUCCAAGUCAUCAUUAAAUUUCAAAACAAUUUAUAACAUCAUUUCAUUUAAACACAUUUUCCAUAAAAUUACAAAAUCAGAUAAAAACAUACUUUAGAUAAUUAAGACGAUAAUAAGGUCAUUCACAAUAUUGGGAAUCGAAGUACUCCUAGUCCCGGUCUUCGGGUACAACUUCUUUGCCUUUAUCGGAGGAUUCACCACCCAAACGUAAUGCAUAAUCAAGAAAUUUACCACAUUGGUGCUAAACCGUUAUAAAACUAAUCUAGGCUCUAUAUGAAUGCAUGAAAUGGAAUGUGAAUUAUUUGGAUCAUCGUCUAAACACGGUGUUUUACAUAAAUUCAAUUGUGUACCUAAAUAAAAUGGUAUUGGCCUAAUUCGAUCUAUCACCCAAUUAAUUGGCCAGUAUGUCCAAUUUAACUCCAAAUAACUCCAUUUCCCUCCCAAUACUCCAAAUCAUCAAACUCAAGUCAAGUAACAUAAAAUUUAGCAAGAUCAUCUUCACAUUUCUUCUUGGGAAUUUCGACCAUGGUGGGUGCAUGAACACUAUGGUUUUUCCCACUUGAUUUUUACACCAUAAAUCAUUAAUUUCUAACCAAAUCACUUGAAAUAAAAUCAAGUCCACCAUCAACACACCAUAGGGAAGAUUCGGCCAAUGGAGGGUGAUGGAAGAAAAUGAAUUUUUCUUGUUUGCUUUUCAUGCAACACAUCACUAACUAACUAAAAACACUAGAAUAUAUUGAAAUCUAACCAAAUUAACCAUCAAAACCUCUCUCUAUAUGUUCAGCCAGCAAGAGAUCCAUCAUAUAAUCAUGAAUUUCAACCAUGAAAAUAAGAAAGAAUGCUUAGGAAAGAUAGAUCUCAAGCUAUAAUUGAAAAAUCUUACCUUUUGUCACUUGAUUCUUUAAAAUUUUGUGAAUUUCUCUUGAAUUUCUUAACUAGGGUUUUGUUCUUCUUCUUUUCUUCCCUUUUCUUCCUUUGGCCGACCAAGAGAAAUGAG
rnacentral:lncRNA from 1 species